UACGUAGGGGGCUAGCGUUGUCCGGAAUCAUUGGGCGUAAAGAGCGUGUAGGCGGUCCGGUAAGUCCGCUGUGAAAGUCGGGGGCUCAACCCUCGAAUGCCGGUGGAUACUGUCGGGCUAGAGUGCGGAAGAGGCGAGUGGAAUUCCUGGUGUAGCGGUGAAAUGCGCAGAUAUCAGGAGGAACACCGAUUGCGAAGGCAGCUCGCUGGGACGUAACUGACGCUGAGACGCGAAAGCGUUGGGAGCAAACAGG
rnacentral:rRNA from 1 species